rnacentral:rRNA from 1 species
AUACGUAGGUGGCAAGCGUUGUCCGGAUUUAUUGGGUUUAAAGGGUGCGCAGGCGGGAGAUUAAGUCGGCGGGGAAAUUUUUCCGCUCAACUGGAAAAGUGCCUUCGAAACUGGUUUCCUUGGGGGUAGGUUAUGGAGGCGGACUUUGUUGGUGAGCAGUAAAAUGCAGAGAUAACACGAGGAACUCCGAUUGCGCAGGCAGCUUACUAAACUACUACUGACGCUCAGGCACGAAGGCGUGGGGAUCAAACAGGAUUAGAUACCCUGGUAGUCCACGCAGUAAACGAUGAUUACUAGCUGUUUGCGAUACAAUGUAAGCGGCUGAGCGAAAGCGUUAAGUAAUCCACCUGGGGAGUACGUUCGCAAGAAUGAAACUCAAAGGAAUUGACGGGG